GGAAAACGCCGCGCAACUCAGACCACUGGAGCGGAGUAGUAUCUGGAGUUUCUGUAACAUCCUUUCCCUUUUUUUUUUUUUUUAAAGCCAGAGCCUCUGUCGCCCAGGCUGCAGUACAGUGGCGUAAUCUCAGCUCACUGCAACCUCUGCCUCCCGGGAUCAAGCGAUUCUCCUUCCUCAGCCUCCCGAGUAGCUGGGAUUACAGGUGCCCGUCGGCUAAUUUUUGGUUUUUUGUUUUGUUUUGUUUUGUUUUUUUUGUUUUUGUUUUUGUUUUGAAACGGAGUCUCUGUCGCCCAGGCUGGAGUGCAACGGCGUGAUCUCGGCUCACUGCAACCUCCGCCUCCCGGGUUCAAGCGAUUCUUCUGUCUCGGCCUCCCAAGUAGCUGGGAUUACAGGCGUCCACCACCAGGCGCAGCUAAUUUUUUGUAUUUUUAGUAGACACGAGGUUUUGCCAUGUUGGCCAGGCUGGUUUCGAACUCCUGGCCUCAAGUGAUCCGCCUGCCUCGGCCUCCCAAAGUGCUGGGAUUACAGGCGACACCCUUUGCUUUUUUUUUUUUUUUUUUUUUGAGGCGGAGUAUCACUCUGUUGCCCAGGCUGGAGUGCAAUGGCGUGAUCUCGGCUCACUGCAACCUCUGCCUCCCAGGUUCAAGAGAUUCUUCUGCCUCAGCCUCCCAAGUAGCUGGCACUGCAGACACGCACCACCACACCCAGGCUACACAGAACAACAUCAUUAGCAACAUUGUUUCAGCAAGGAAAUAAUCCUUAUUGGCAAAGGGAAACCAAGGAAAGAAAACUAUUGUUUUCUUCGGCUACAUGCUGUCUGCAAAGCACCCCAUGGAUUCAAUUUCUCAUCAAUUCAGAAUGGAAUACUAACGUGCUGCCUAGAGAUACAGAAGUGGGAUGAACGCAGGGCCUUACUCAGCAUUCAGAACAAAACUGAUGGUGCUAGCAUAUAUAAGACUGAAACACCAAAGUCCUCCGUGGAAGUUAAUGAAUUUCUAGGCAGCUGUGGUAGACCCCAAAUGCACAGGGCAUAUGGCUCACCUCACCACCCCAGAUGGUGCUACUGGCCCAGCCUUCCCAGCGUCCACCCUGGCAGUCUUUCCUCAUUCCCUUGGCCCUCACCCUGUCUCCUCAGCCUUCCAGCUGCACUGCUAUUGUAGGCUGCUCUUUCUCGACAAUCUCCUCUUAUUUUCUGUGAUGUCUCAGGAUGUUUCUUCUUCUCAGGGGUUUUCCAAGCUUCUUCCACACUCAGGUGCUCAGACGUUUUUAUGGUCUGGCUUCUGAAGGAGAUCAAAAUUCAUAUGGACAGGCAUUUGUGUAUUAGCCAAGAGUUGCUAAUGCAUUUCUUGAUCAUAAGUCUCAGAGAAAUGGGAUGAAAGAUCUUAGAUUUUUAUACACUCUGCUUCAAUGAUUUCUCAGCUUUUCUGAUCUGAAAAGAAUAAAGGACACCUUUUAGCUAAGCACUUUCUGUUUUAUUUCUUAUAAUGCCAUGUAGUGGCUGUUACUGCCAACACAGCAGUCAUUUAAUAAACCCUGAAUGUCUGUAGCAUUUCUUCUCAUUCGUUUCAGUGAGUGCUGUUCUUUUCUGUGUUUAUUUUUAAUUUUUUUUUUCCAUGCAGUAUUUCUUGCACCCUCUUAUUACUCCUCAGCCUUUGGAUUCUAGAUCAGUGGUUCUCAAACUGCCUGCAUCAGAACACCUGAAGGGCUUGUACAACACAGAUUGCUGGAUCUCAUUCCCAGAGUUUAUUAAUUGUUAGGUCCAGGUGGGCCAGGGAAUUUGCAUUUCUA
rnacentral:lncRNA from 10 species